UGUUAUCAUUUCAAAUCAAAAAGGAAACAUAGAGAUAAUAUUGACUGGUUGGGCUUUCACCUGUACCUUUCUUCAGAGGAAUAUUCUUGUGCUACAGCGAGUGGAAAGUGUUUGGGAGUUUGAGAGUUUAUGUCCCUCUGGAUGGCCCUUAAUCAGUAACUGACUGAGAAUGCACAAUUCUUCUGAUGUAAGUCCAACAAGAAGUGAUUCAGGAACAGCCACAAGUCCAGACUCCUGCCCCUCAAUUACAUGUUUUCUCUCAUGUAAAGAAUAAACAAUUCUGGGACAUUAAACAAUGACUCAUA